AGCAAUACCGCACUGAUACGGGUAUGGUCCGAAGGUUAAUAUAGGAUCUCCAUACCCUACUCCGACUCAAUACGUCCACGGCGUGCAGAACGGUAACAUAUCUCUCCAAUAAUCUGAGCUUGGAUACACGGGGAAACCCAACCCCUUAGGAGGAUGGGUUAUAUGGCUAAUUUGAGCGGG
rnacentral:ribozyme from 1 species